UACAGAGGUCUCAAGCGUUGUUCGGAUUCAUUGGGCGUGAAGGGUGCGUAGGUGGCGCUGUAAGUCGGGUGUGAAAUUUCGGAGCUUAACUCCGAAACUGCAUUCGAUACUGCGGUGCUUGAGGACUGGAGAGGAGACUGGAAUUCAUGGUGUAGCAGUGAAAUGCGUAGAGAUCAUGAGGAAGACCAGUGGCGAAGGCGGGUCUCUGGACAGUUCCUGACACUGAGGCACGAAGGCCACGGGAGCAAACGGG
rnacentral:rRNA from 1 species